GAAGUUGCUUGCAACUUUGAGACCGGCGCACGGGUGCGUAACGCGUAUGCAAUCUACCUUUUACAGAGGGAUAGCCCAGAGAAAUUUGGAUUAAUACCUCAUAGUGUAAUGAGUUGGCAUCAACAUAUUACUAAAGUUACAACGGUAAAAGAUGAGCAUGCGUCCUAUUAGCUAGUUGGUGUGGUAACGGCAUACCAAGGCGACGAUAGGUAGGGGUCCUGAGAGGGAGAUCCCCCACACUGGUACUGAGACACGGACCAGACUCCUACGGGAGGCAGCAGUGAGGAAUAUUGGACAAUGGGCGCAAGCCUGAUCCAGCCAUGCCGCGUGCAGGAAGACGGUCCUAUGGA
rnacentral:rRNA from 1 species